rnacentral:rRNA from 1 species
UGCCAGCAGCCGCGGUAAUACGUAGGGUCCAAGCGUUAAUCGGAAUUACUGGGCGUAAAGCGUGCGCAGGCGGUUGUGCAAGACCGAUGUGAAACCCCCGGGCUUAACCUGGGAAUUGCAUUGGUGACUGCACGGCUAGAGUGUGUCAGAGGUAGAAUUCCACGUGUAGCAGUGAAAUGCGUAGAGAUGUGGAGGAAUACCGAUGGCGAAGGCAGCCCCCUGGAUAACACUGACGCUCAUGCACGAAAGCGUGGGGAGCAAACAGGAUU